UACUCCUACGGGAGGCAGCAGUAGGGAAUCUUCCGCAAUGGACGAAAGUCUGACGGAGCAACGCCGCGUGAGUGAUGAAGGUUUUCGGAUCGUAAAGCUCUGUUGUUAGGGAAGAACAAGUGCAAGAGUAACUGCUUGCACCUUGACGGUACCUAACCAGAAAGCCACGGCUAACUACGUGCCAGCAGCCGCGGUAAUACGUAGGUGGCAAGCGUUGUCCGGAAUUAUUGGGCGUAAAGGGCUCGCAGGCGGUUUCUUAAGUCUGAUGUGAAAGCCCCCGGCUCAACCGGGGAGGGUCAUUGGAAACUGGGAAACUUGAGUGCAGAAGAGGAGAGUGGAAUUCCACGUGUAGCGGUGAAAUGCGUAGAGAUGUGGAGGAACACCAGUGGCGAAGGCGACUCUCUGGUCUGUAACUGACGCUGAGAGCGAAGCUUAAACCCUA
rnacentral:rRNA from 1 species